CCUACACGACCGUACCGCAAACCGACACUGGUGCGCGAGAUGAGUAUUCUAAGGCGCUUGAGAGAACUCAGGAGAAGGAACUCGGCAAAUUGACACCGUAACUUCGGAAGAAGGUGUGCCUUUAGUAGGUGAAGUCCCUCGCGGAUGGAGCCCAAUGAGGUUGCAAAAAAUCGGUGGCUGCGACUGUUUAUUAAAAACACAGCACUCUGCAAACACGAAAGUGGACGUAUAGGGUGUGACGCCUGCCCGGUGCUGGAAGAUUAAAUGAUGGGGUGCAAGCUCUUGAUUGAAGUCCCAGUAAACGGCGGCCGUAACUAUAACGGUCCUAAGGUAGCGAAAUUCCUUGUCGGGUAAGUUCCGACCUGCACGAAUGGCGUAACGAUGGCCACACUGUCUCCUCCUGAGACUCAGCGAAGUUGAAAUGUUUGUGAUGAUGCAAUCUCCCCGCGGAAAGACGGAAAGACCCCAUGGACCUUUACUGUAGCUUUGUAUUGGACUUUGAACAGAUCUGUGUAGGAUAGGUGGGAGGCUUUGAAGCAGGGUCGCUAGAUCUUGUGGAGCCAACGUUGAAAUACCACCCUGGUGUGUUUGAGGUUCUAACCUAGGCCCGUAAUCCGGGUUGGGGACAGUGCAUGGUAGGCAGUUUGACUGGGGCGGUCUCCUCCCAAAGUGUAACGGAGGAGUUCGAAGGUACGCUAGUUACGGUCGGACAUCGUGACGAUAGUGCAAUGGCAUAAGCGUGCUUAACUGCGAGACUGACAAGUCGAGCAGAUGCGAAAGCAGGACAUAGUGAUCCGGUGGUUCUGUAUGGAAGGGCCAUCCCUCAACGGAUAAAAGGUACUCUGGGGAUAACAGGCUGAUACCGCCCAAGAGUUCAUAUCGACGGCGGUGUUUGGCACCUCGAUGUCGGCUCAUCUCAUCCUGGGGCUGUAGCCGGUCCCAAGGGUAUGGCUGUUCGCCAUUUAAAGAGGUACGUGAGCUGGGUUUAAAACGUCGUGAGACAGUUUGGUCCCUAUCUUCCGUGGGCGCUGCAGAUUUGAGGAAGCCUGCUCCUAGUACGAGAGGACCGGAGUGGACGCACCUCUGGUGUAUCGGUUGUCACGCCAGUGGCAUUGCCGAGUAGCUAUGUGCGGAAGAGAUAACCGCUGAAAGCAUCUAAGCGGGAAACUCGUUUCAAGAUGAGAUCUGCCGGGGCCUUGAGCCCCCUGAAGAGUCGUUCAAGACCAGGACGUUGAUAGGUCGUGUGUGGAAGC
rnacentral:rRNA from 1 species